rnacentral:rRNA from 1 species
UACGAAGGGGGCUAGCGUUGUUCGGAGUUACUGGGCGUAAAGGGCGCGCAGGCGGUCUGGCAAGUUUGGAGUGACAGUGCUCGGCUUAACUGAGCAAGGCCUUCGAAAACUGCUAGACUUGAGCACUCAAGAGGGACAUAGAAUUCCGGGUGGAGUGGUGAAAUGCGUAGAUAUCCGGAGGAAUACCAAAGGCGAAGGCAGUGUCCUGGGGAGUGUCUGACGCUCAGGCGCGAAAGCUAGGGGAGCGAACAGG